ACCCAAUAGAUACCCCGGUAGUCCACGCUGUAAACGAUGAUCACUCGUUGUUGGCGAUAUACUGUCAGCGACUGAGCGAAAGCAUUAAGUGAUCCACCUGGGGAGUACGGCGGCAACGUUGAAACUCAAAGGAAUUGACGGGGGCCCGCACAAGCGGAGGAGCAUGUGGUUUAAUUCGAUGAUACGCGAGGAACCUUACCUGGGCUUAAAUGCAGGACGACGUUUCGUGAAAGCGGAAUUUCCUUCGGGACGUCUUGCAAGGUGCUGCAUGGUUGUCGUCAGCUCGUGCCGUGAGGUGUCGGGUUAAGUCCCAUAACGAGCGCAACCCUUAUUCUUAGUUGCCAUCAGGUCAAGCUGGGAACUCUAAGAAAACUGCCUACGCAAGUAGUGAGGAAGGUGGGGAUGACGUCAAAUCAGCACGGCCCUUAUGUCCAGGGCGACACACGUGCUACAAUGGUCGGUACAGAGGGUUGCUACCAGGUGACUGGAUGCUAAUCUCGAAAGCCGGUCUCAGUUCGGAUUGAAGU
rnacentral:rRNA from 1 species